rnacentral:rRNA from 1 species
GACGAACGCUGGCGGCGUGCCUAAUACAUGCAAGUCGAGCGAAGUUUUUCUGGUGCUUGCACCGGAAAAACUUAGCGGCGAACGGGUGAGUAACACGUAAAGAACCUGCCUCAUAGACUGGGACAACUAUUGGAAACGAUAGCUAAUACCGGAUAAUAGCAUUAACUGCAUGGUUGAUGUUUAAAAGUUGGUUUUGCUAACACUAUGAGAUGGCUUUGCGGUGCAUUAGCUAGUUGGUGGGGUAAAGGCCUACCAAGGCGACGAUGCAUAGCCGACCUGAGAGGGAGAUCGGCCACACUGGGACUGAGACACGGCCCAGACUCCUACGGGAGGCAGCAGUAGGGAAUCUUCCGCAAUGGGCGAAAGCCUGACGGAGCAACGCCGCGUGAGUGAAGAAGGAUUUCGGUUCGUAAAGCUCUGUUGUUAGGGAAGAAUGAUUGUGUAGUAACUAUACACAGUAGAGACGGUACCUAACCAGAAAGCCACGGCUAACUACGUG